rnacentral:misc_RNA from 1 species
GAUGAAGAACGUAGCGAAAUGCGAUACUUGGUGUGAAUUGCAGAAUCCCGUGAAUCAUCGAGUCUUUGAACGCACAUUGCGCCCCCUGGUAUUCCGGGGGGCAUGCCUGUCCGAGCGUCAUUGCUGCCCAUCAAGCACGGCUUGUGUGUUGGGUCCCGUCCCCCUCUCCCGGGGGACGGACCCGAAAGGCAGCGGCGGCACCGCGUCCGGUCCUCGAGCGUAUGGGGCUUUGUCACCCGCUCUUGUAGGCCCGGCCGGCGCUUGCCGACACCCAACCAUUUUUUUCAGGUUGACCUCGGAUCAGGUAGGGAUACCCGCUGAACUUAAGCAUAUCAAUAAGCGGAGGA